AGACAAUCCUAGCUAGCUAGCUAGCUAGCCUGUGGAUCUUCUCGGAUCCUAGAAAAUUAUCGCAAACUCUCUCAAUCUACAGAAUUGGGAUGGACCAUACAAGUUUUCAGUUCCUGGGUUCAACCUCCGAGGAGAAUGACAUCAAUGGAAAACUGUGGCAAAGAGUUACUGUUAUCUGAGUGUUACAUCCAAGAUUAGCUGAUCAUAAGCAUCCUUGAAAAAACAGAGGAUGUGAACGAAGUUAUUAAUGAUGUCUUUGGGCUCUUACGUGUCUUCAUGGUUAGCCAAAUAGCUACAAGAGACGAAAGAACACAGAGUGAAGAAAUCAUUUUGCAAGGCAACUCACCGGCCGUGCAUUGGUUUUGACACGAAUGCAGAAAUAAUUUGCUACCUAAUCCGAUGGGUAGAGGAGGUAGAAUCAAUAGUCAAAUGUCUUGUGUUUGCAAUCAACAGUAGAAUCAAUACAGAACACAAGACUUCGGCCGCUUAAAAUACAGAAUUGUUGUGCUUUUUGGUGAUGUUUCCAAUUCCUAAGCAUGCUGUUUUGAUCUAAAAUGGCUCAUUACAUUUAAGCUUGCGGAUUUGUAAUCAGAGACGAAGUGUCUUUAGCUAAUAUGAUUUCUUCAAAGAAAAUGCCCGUUUAUGUCAUGCUAAAGUUUCUUUGUUCAUUAUUCUAAGAGA